rnacentral:rRNA from 1 species
UACGAAGGGUGCAAGCGUUACUCGGAAUUACUGGGCGUAAAGCGUGCGUAGGUGGUUUGUUAAGUCUGAUGUGAAAGCCCUGGGCUCAACCUGGGAAUUGCAUUGGAUACUGGCAGGCUAGAGUGCGGUAGAGGGUAGUGGAAUUCCUGGUGUAGCGGUGAAAUGCGCAGAUAUCAGGAGGAACACCGAUGGCGAAGGCAGGUCUCUGGGCAUUAACUGACGCUGGAGGAGCGAAAGCAUGGGGA